ACUCCUACGGGAGGCAGCAGUGGGGAAUAUUGCACAAUGGGGGAACCCAUGACUGCAGCCAUGCCGCGCUGUGUGAAGAAGGCCAAUUCGGGCUUGGUUAAAGACACUUUUCAGUUAGGGAGGAAGGUGAGUGUAGUUAACACCUGCACUUAUUGACUGUUACCAUACAGAAGAAGCACCGGCUAACUCCGUGCCAGCAGCCGCGGUAAUACGGAGGGUGCGAGCGUUAAUCGGAAUUACUGGGCGUAAAGCGCAUGCAGGCGGCUUGUUAAGUCAGAUGUGAAAGCCCGGGG
rnacentral:rRNA from 1 species